rnacentral:lncRNA from 12 species
GUGUCGCCCCACCUGCACGGCCAGCGAUCGGAAGAGCGCCCCCCCCCCCCCCCCCCCCCCCCCCCCCCCCCCCCCCCCCCCCCCCCCCCCCCCCCUGGCACUGUCCCCUGUGCGACCCCCGCGUCCCCCAGGUGUCGCCCCACCUGCACGGCCAGCGCGAUGGUGUUGAGCAGGAUGAGGACGAACAUGAUGUACUCGAAGGCGGUGGAGUUGACCAUGGCCCACACGCGGUACUGGCUCGCAGUUGCGGUACUCGCUCUCGCCCUGCGCGCGGAAGGUGAUGAUGACGAAGCCCACGAAGAUGUUCAUCAUGAAGAAGGCGAUGACGAUGAUGUAGACGAUGAAGAAGAUGGAGAUCUCCACGCGGUGGACACGGUGAACAGCGCCAUCAUCCCCGCCAGAACGUUGUCGAAGUUGAAGUCGCUGUUGAGCCAGAGGCGCUCCCGCACCGAGGGGUGGGACACGUCCCCGUCCUUGUACACCAGGAAUGUCCCCCUGGUGUGGGGACAUGGGGACAGCCAGGGUGAGACCCCAAAGGGACACUGCCACCACUGAGGGGUGGGACACGUCCCUGUCCUUGUACACCAGGAAUGUCCCCCUGGGACAGGGACAUGGGGACAGUGAGGGCGAACAUGAACUGCAGCAGCGUGGUGACGAUCAUGAUGUUCCCGAUGGUGCGGAUGGCCACGAACACACACUGCACCACGUGCUGGGGACAGGGACAGGGACAGGGACAGUGUGACCGGGGCACGGGGACAGGGACAGGGACAGGGACAGUGUCACCCGGGCACUGGGACAGUGAGACAGUGUCACCUGGGGCGUGGGGACAGGGACAGGGACAGUGUCACCGGGGCACAGGGACAGGGACAGUGGGACAUGGGAACAAGUGGGUCACUGAGGCCACUGUGUGUGGGGACACCUGUGCCACUGCUGCCUUGGGACAUUGGGGCACAGGGACAAUGGGGACCCCUGUGCCACCAACAGCGUGCCAUUGUACACCAGGAAUGUCCCCCUGGUGUGGGGUCAUGGGGGCAGCGAGGGUGAGACCCCAAAGGGACACUGCCACCACUGAGGGGUGGGACACGUCCCUGUCCUUGUACACCAGGAAUGUCCCCCUGGGACAGGGACAUGGGGACAGUGAGCGAUCUGGGUGUGACACCAUGGGGACACCUCGGGGGUGGGUGAGGGUCAGGAUUUGAGGUGCAGGGUCAGUUUGGGGUGUGGGGUCAUUUUUGGGGUGACACUCACUUGCACUCUCCUGGCGUGUGCUUGGCUCCCAGUGCCACCAGUACAGCGUCCCUUCUCCCAGUGCUCCCAGUGCCACCAGUACAGCGUCCCUUCUCCCAGUGCUCCCAGUGCCACCAGUACAGCGUCCCUUCUCCCAGUGCUCCCAGUGCCACCAGUACAGCGUCCCUUCUCCCAGUGCUCCCAGUGCCACCAGUACAGCGUCCCUUCUCCCAGUGCUCCCAGUGCCACCAGUACAGCGUCCCUUCUCCCAGUGCUCCCAG